GAUGAACGCUGGCGGCGUGCCUAAUACAUGCAAGUCGAGCGAACAGACGAGGAUCUUGCUCCUCUGACGUUAGCGGCGGACGGGUGAGUAACACGUGGAUAACCUACCUAUAAGACUGGGAUAACUUCGGGAAACCGGAGCUAAUACCGGAUAAUAUAUUGAACCGCAUGGUUCAAUAGUGAAUGACGGUUUUGCUGUGACUUAUAGAUGUAUCCUCGCUGCAUUGGCUAGUUGGUAAGGUAACGGCUUACCAAGGCAACGAUGCGUAGCCGACCUGAGAGGGGGAUCGGCCACUCUGAAACUGAAACGCGAUCCAGAGACCUACGGGAGGCAGCAGUAGGGAAUCGUGCGCAAUGGGCGGAAGCCUGAAGGAGCAGCGCCGCGUGAGUGAUGAAGGUCUUCGGAUCGUAAAACUCUGUUAUGAGGGAAGAACAAAUGUGUAAGUAACUAUGCUCGUCUUGACGGUACCUAGUCAGAAAGCCACGGCUAACUACGUG
rnacentral:rRNA from 1 species